UUUAAGACUGUUUUGGACCCCAGAUGUUUCAAGACACUGGUGUAUAGAAGCCAUCACACAAGAAGUCUUACAGAAGGAUUACACGCACAGCUGAUCCCAGGAUCCUGACAUGUCUGAAGAAACCACAAGCUCACAGACGCUCACAGAUAAGUACAGCCCUGGCAUGACAGGCCAUUUUUCCCCAAACACAAACACUCCAACCACAUGAAUCAGCAGAUGAAAGGCAUGCCAGAAUCAGGGGGCAUCGCUCACACGCAGACGUGCCGUAUGUUAACGGGCACCAUGUAUGAAAAAAAAAAAAAAAGAAAGAAAAUUAUUCACUGUAAUCACUGAACCAAGUUCCUUGGUGGUUUUCUCUGUAAGUGUGUGUGUGUGUGUGUGUGUGUGUGUGUGUGUGUGUGUUUGCGUGGGUGGAAGUCAGACCACAGGUGCUGGAAAGAUCAAAGAGCAGCAGAAAAUCUGACAAAGAUUUGGACAAUGAUUCUAAACAUACGGUGUGUACUGUAUUACUGGCCCAUGCAUUAAAGCCUUCACAAGUCUAAAUGUUCAAGAAUGAGAAGUAGUGCAUUUUUCCUUACCCGGCAGCAUGGAGGCUUUUACUGCACACUAGACUGAAAUGCAAAUGAGCUUUUUAUUGAACAAAUAGACAAAUUUAAAUACAAAAUUAUCUCACAUCAUAUCACAAUGUUCACAAUUUUGCAAAUUUGUAACUAGUAGUCAUUAAAGUACACCCAUUCUCAUCACAUAAAGUUUUUCACAGAAUUGCAUUGAUGAAAGUACUGUAGACAAAUCUUAGGGUCACCAUGUGCAAUGCUAAGAUUCAGCUAAAGAGAUGUGAAGCCCAAGUAAAGCUUUACAUACAGCAUGUUAUCUACUGUAAUGAAGCAGCAUCUAUUAUCCUUGAGAUUAAAUAAUUGCCCAUCUGUGAUCACAGAUCUCAACGAAUGCUUAGUAUUCAUUUAGUAUUCAGCCAUGGCUCCCUCCUCAUCCAUUCAUCCACUCUAACCAUUCCAAGCUCAGCUACUGUGUCUGUUAGCAUUGUGGAUCAGACCUUGUUGAGGCCAGCUAUUAGCACUGCGGCUAAAAUGCUCCAACCCUGCUGAGCCUGGCUGCUGUGUCUGUUAGCACUGCAGAUCCAGCUCUGCUGAGCCCAGCUUUUAGGAUGCUUGCAGAUCUCUAUUACUGUGUUAGCUGCUACUGUCCCUGGUAGCCUCACAGCUAUCGCAUUCAAACUUACAAUGUUUUUUGGUUGAGGAAUCAAUACAGUUUGAAAAAUUAUCAUCUACAUAUUCAUAAUAUGUGUGUAGGCAUAUUAAAUAUUUACAUCCUGAUUGGUCUCUUCUUUUACUUAGUAGAUCUAUUACUUUACAGUUUAGUGUUGUUCCGCAAGUCAGUGCCAGAGGGUUGUAAUGCAUGGUAUAUAAAAUCCACUACCCAUACCUGUAUUACCCUGUGUUUGCCUAUAUUACCUUGUGUUUUCCUGUACUACCUUGUGUUUGUCUAUAUUACCCUGUGUUUGUCUGUACUACCCUGUGUUUACCUGUAUUACCCUAUGUUUGCCUGUUUUACCCUGUGUUUGCCUGUACUACCUUGUGUUUUCCUGUUUUAUCCUGUGUUUGCCUGCUUUACCCUGUGUUUGCCUGUACUACCCUGUGUGUGCCUGUACUACCCUGUGUUUGCCUGUACUACCUUGUGUUUUCCUGUACUACCUUGUGUUUGCCUGGACUACUUUGUGUUUGUCUGUUUUACCCUGUGUUUACCUGUAUUACCCUGUGUUUUCAUGUACUACCCUGUGUUUGCCUGUACUACCUUGUGUUUGACUGUACUACCCUUUGUUUGCCAGUACUACUCUGUGUUUUUCUGUAUUACCCUGUUUUGGCCUGUAAUACCCUGUUUUUGUCCCCUGUGUCUGGCUGUGUUACCCUGAUUGUAAGACAUGGUAAGAUACGUUUACAGGUCUAAUUCUUUUGACGGUAUAAUUAAGCAUAUAUAUAUAUAUACUAGCUCCUAACAACAUAUGGUUGUUAGAUGGCAAGGCUGUUAAAAAAUGUAAAGAAACCUUUAACCGGGCAAAGAACCAUUUAAGGAUACAGAUGGUUCUUUAACUUGUCAUGAUUCCUUAUUGACCUGCUGACUUUACUUAAGAAUCAUUGAAGAAACUCUGAAUAUUAUGCUUAGUAAGUGUCUGGAUGCUUUUGGAAGUGCUGUACAUUUUAUUGUGAAUGUGCAGUAAAGUCCUCAUGGGAGUUAAUCGUACUUGUUUUUCAAUAUCUGUAACAGCUUUUGUAAAGAAUGCGGCCCCUCAGACAUUCUCAGGUGUUGAUGUUCCUCUGCAGCAGAAAGGCACUGGGGAACAUGAGAAGCUGCUUGGUGUUUUAAAAGCGCUGCUCUGUUUAAGGCAAGAGCUCUACAGAAACCUCGGACAAAGGAGCGCACAGGUCACCGUGCUUCUCUCCGCUCUCCUCUGUUUUUGCCUCCGUUUGUCUCUCCUGUUCUUUUCUCUUGUGGGUUGGGCUCAGGCAGUGAGUACCAGCCUGCAGCUAAGUUUUUCAUUUGGAUCAAAUUUCCCCGGUGCAGAUGCUGCAACAGAACAGGACUCAUGAAAAAUAAUGCACGCAUGCUCGCUUAGCAAAACACCAGCCUCAGGAAUUCCUGUUUGGCCUUAAAGACCUAAACAGCUUUUGAAAAACAGUUUGGCUGAGAAGCGCCGAGGCUCAGACACAGACAUGAAAAGGAAUGCUCGAGAGCUGAGAGACAUGAGACACCGUGUUUGUUUGGAGGCACGGUACUACUAGUUCACCAAGGUCAUCUCAGCUAGCUGAUCAAACGUGGAAUGCGUUCUCUUCAUGUUUUCUUUUUUCUUUCCCUCAGCUUAAUGCUGGUGAAGUAUCUUAUUUUGCCAUCAAGCUUCUUGGUUCUAACAUGUCUGCUGGUUUUGAUAUGGACUGGGAUAGUGUCAUAAUGGGAUGGAAUUACUGUAAAAGGAUAGAGGAAGGCCUACAUCUGUUCUCGGGAUGUUUCGUUCAGCAGUCAUUCGCCGCUAAACCAAAACAUCAGGCCUGCGUAAUCUCUUCUCGCUGACUGGUGUUUAUUGUUUUUCUUCCUCAUGCUUACUAAUUGGACGAUCGUGAAAGAUAGAGGGACGAGCAGUCAGGAUGGAGCGGUGCGUGCGUGCGGAGGAAGCUGACGUCAACCCGGCGACCGGCCGCUCGCUGGCAUGCACGCACACGUAUCGAGUGCUCUGCUGAUAUAAGCUGACAGCCACUGGAGGGUCCAGAGCUGUAUUUGAGAGGGAUCCCAGUUCUCUUGUUAUCAAAUCCCACCUACUCGCUGAUGUCAUCCAACCACAAUUUCCGUGCUGCAACAACAUAAUGGGAAGACUCAACACGCUUGGAGGAGAACAUUAACUGCCAGUUCUCUUUUGAGAGCAAACGCUGGUUAUCCGUCAGUGUCUUGCUGAUUGAUGAGGGGAAGAGGGAGGGCCAUGCUACCCACUCAGAGAGGCCAGUUAUGCUGUUUUAGGCUCCCAGCACCAGAUGGCUGUGGCAUCACCAGGGAUCAAUCUCACGAUCGUCUGAUGAUAAAGUCAAAGCUGAUUUUGUACUAUUUUUUUUAUUUUUUUUUCAUAAUAAUCAAAGGCAGUUUAUGCAGUGUAUUCAGUUUGUACAGGAUUUGUAUUUAAGACAUUAUUUUAAAAUGUAAAAUCAUUACCAUGAUUAAUAGAAUUUUGAAUACUGUUACAGCUCUGUAUUCUGACAAAGUGAUACUAUUAUUACAACUGUUUAGAAAAAAAAAACAAUAUGACACAUAGCAUUCAAUACACAAGCUCAUUAUACAUUAAGCCCAUUCACACUGUAUGCAGUAAAUGUCAGACUGCUGUGAAGUGCUGAUGUCUCACUGUGAAAUUAUAGUAGAAGUACUAUUUACAGAAUGUACUGUAAAAGGUCUGUUAACUGUUCAGAUUAGUUUAAUAAUUAAUAAUAAUUAUAAUAAUAAAGGUUCUGUUCAGUGUAUUCAAAUGUAAAAGCAAGAUUUUUGAGUCUAACAACUCCAUACAUGGAAAGUAAGCAGCAAAAUCAGUCAAAUUUAAAUCCAUCAUGGUUGUGACAUUACUGACAUUGUAACUUUAAACAGUGUGCUUUAAACAAUAUUUAAACCUAAAUAUUCAGUGUAUAAGAAAAUAGAAACUGGUGUACAGAGCUUUCACGCCAGUAGCUUUCAGUUCUUUUGAAUUUUAAACAUUUUCUUACAUAGAUUUUUACACUAACUGCGUGGAUGUGAACAGGGCCAAAGAACGGCAUUGCCGCUUAUCAGAUGAAUAGACAUAUUGUAGUAUAUAUAUUGUCUGUGAUGCACAAAAACCUUCUCAAAAAAACUAUUUUUUAGCUGUAUUUAACCUUUUAGACAUUGUGUGAACCUGGCAGUUGUUUUUUUAUUCUUUUGCAAAAAAGUGUUUUAGUAGAUGGAUAAAAAAUUAUCCAAAAUACCUUGAAAUAAAAGGCUUUUAUUUGUA